rnacentral:lncRNA from 1 species
UCUCUUCCACAAGCUAAGUAGUUCACCAAAUCAUCAUACCAAGGACCUUUCUCUUCAGUUGCCUUCACUUCUUCAAGCUUCUUUCCAGUUUCACAAACUGCUACUACUGCUCUAAUAGCCAUGAUCUGUUCUUCUGGAAGCCCUUCAUCAAUGGGGAUCCCACACUCAAUCUUUAGUCUAGACAAGUGGUCAGCUACACCAUUCUCAACUCAUGGCUUGUCUUUGAUCUCAAGAUCAAACUCUUGUAGUAGCAAGAUCCACCUCAACAGUCUUGGAAGCAUCCUUCUUGGCCAAAAGGUGUCUCAAUGCAGCAUGAUCAGUGUAGACUAUGACUUUUAACCCAACCAAAUAGCUUAUGAACUUUUCAAAGGCAUACAC